rnacentral:rRNA from 1 species
AAUGAACGCUGGCGGCGUGCCUAACACAUGCAAGUCGGAUGUGCCGCAAGGUGCAUGGCAGACGGGUGAGUAACGCGUAGGGAAUCUACCUUUUUGUGGGGAAUAACGCUCCGAAAGGAGUGGUAGUACCGCAUGAGACCGUGACCUGGGAUGGUUACGGUGAAACCUGGGGACCGCAAGGCCUGGGGCAAAAAGAGGAUCCUGCGUCUGAUUAGCUAGUUGGCGGGUAAUGGCCCACCAAGGCGACGAUCAGUAGCCGGCCUGAGAGGGUGAUCGGCCACACUGGAACUGAGACACGGUCCAGACUCCUACGGGAGGCAGCAGUGGGAAUUUUGCGCAAUGGACGAAAGUUUGACGCAGCAACGCCGCGUGGGUGAUGAAGGUCUUCGGACUGUAAAACCCUGUCGUCAGGGACGAAGGUGGCAGUGUUAAUAGCGCUGUUACUUGACGGUACCGUGGAGGAGGAAGCCCCGGCUAACUCUGUGCCAGCAGCCGCGGUAA